rnacentral:rRNA from 1 species
AUUGAACGCUGGCGGCAGGCCUAACACAUGCAAGUCGAAUGGUAACAGGAAACAGCUUGCUGUUUCGCUGACGAGUGGCGGACGGGUGAGUAAUGUCUGGGAAACUGCCUGAUGGAGGGGGAUAACUACUGGAAACGGUAGCUAAUACCGCAUAACGUCGCAAGACCAAAGAGGGGGACCUUCGGGCCUCUUGCCAUCAGAUGUGCCCAGAUGGGAUUAGCUAGUAGGUGGGGUAACGGCUCACCUAGGCGACGAUCCCUAGCUGGUCUGAGAGGAUGGACCAGCCACACUGGAACUGAGACACGGUCCAGACUCCUACGGGAGGCAGCAGUGGGAAUAUUGCACAAUGGGCGCAAGGCCUGAUGCAGCCAUGCCGCGUGUAUG